GGCAGAAGCAGUCCCUGGCACCUCCAGCUCCUCCGGGCCCAUUGCCAACUCGUCUCUGCCCAAUACAUUUGUUAAGUGUUUCCUUAGCUAUAAGGACUUUUCAGUCCAUUACUUGGGGCAGUAUGAAAGGUUGGUAAUGUACUGUCAAGAGAAAACAGGCCUUUCAACCACUCCAUCAAUUUUGUGGACCCAGUAACCUGUGCCCAUACAAAUACAACUGAAAGGCGGUGGAGGGAACUUCGUGAGGCAACUUUGUCGGGUACUUGGCAGUGGCAUAUUUUAAAAUCUAAGAUCCCAAGAUGAGGUUCCACGCCUUUGUGAAAGCGGCUGCUGAACUCUAUCCUUCACCACUUUAAGGAGAGUUGGCUUCAGUGUAGAAGGUUCAGGGAUAGGACCACGAGUUGGCUGACAAUGGCGGCAGGUUGCAACAGGGAAGGUUCUCGCCUCUGGAUGUGUGACCGUCCAUCCACAAGAUGCCUAUGAACUUCUGAAGAUUAACUGACUGGAGGAGAAAGUUCACCACAAGGACCUGGCACACAGCCUAGAAAGGACACCCAGCCACAGUAUUUAAAGCCCUGGCUGCAUGACCUCACCUGGAUUCUUGGCGAAAGAGGGGCCAACUUCAGGCAGACCUAUUGGAAGGUCGAAAUCAAGAACAAUGUAAGUGCACUUGGAUGCAGCCAUUGCAGCCUAUUGUUUAUUGAAAAUAUUUGAAAUUUUACUCCUAAAUAAAUAUUUUGUAUGUGGAAAUAUUUAUUGAAAAUAACCAAUAUCUUCAACGAGAAAUUUGGGAAAUG